rnacentral:tRNA from 1 species
AGAAGGGUAGGUCAUAAAGAGACUUCUAAUCUUUUUUAUGGGCAGUUCGACUCUGUCCCUUUCUU